GUAGGUGAACCUGCGGAGGGAUCAUCAAAGAAAAAAAAACAAUAUUUUAAACCCCAAGUGUUAGGAAAGGAGGGAAAGGGGGGGAAGAGAGAGAGCAUUGCUAUCUUUUUUUCCUUCUUCCUUCUUUUUCUAAUGCUUCAAACAAACGAUCACAACUAAAAAGAGAGAGAGAAAAUUUGGAUACCUGGUUUUUUUCGAGAGAAGAAAUAAGUGCUUGCCUGAUAAUCUGAUUAUUGGAAUUGGAAAGAGA
rnacentral:misc_RNA from 1 species